AGCGAACGCUGGCGGCAGGCUUAACACAUGCAAGUCGAGCGGGCACUUCGGUGUCAGCGGCAGACGGGUGAGUAACGCGUGGGAACAUACCUUUUGGUUCGGAACAACACAGGGAAACUUGUGCUAAUACCGGAUAAGCCCUUACGGGGAAAGAUUUAUCGCCGAAAGAUUGGCCCGCGUCUGAUUAGCUUGUUGGUGAGGUAACGGCUCACCAAGGCGACGAUCAGUAGCUGGCUGAGAGGAUGAUCAGCCACAUUGGGACUGAGACACGGCCCAAACUCCUACGGGAGGCAGCAGUGGGGAAUAUUGGACAAUGGGCGCAAGCCUGAUCCAGCCAUGCCGCGUGAGUGAUGAAGGCCCUAGGGUUGUAAAGCUCUUUUAACGGGGAAGAUAAUGACGGUACCCGUAGAAUAAGCCCCGGCUAACUUCGUGCCAGCCGCCGCCGUAAG
rnacentral:rRNA from 1 species